rnacentral:lncRNA from 1 species
CCACAGCAGCGUCCCCUCCCCGGGACUUCUGGGUCUGAGCCUGAGGGCUUCCGGCUAACAGGGAGCAUUGCCCCACACAAGACCCUUGGGCUGGAGGUCCCACCCCAGGGCGUCCCCAGAGGAGGGCGACUUCCAAAGCUCCAGGCAGAUGGAGAACCGGAGGGCCCCUCGGAGAGCCCGGUCCCUGGACAGGCCACGAGUCCUCAGGAAGGACUCAGAGACGUCAAGCUGUCAGUGCCUGUCACUGCCCAGCACACCCUGCAGGUGGGCACCCUGCCGAGCCAUCGGCGAAGGGGCCAGAGGUUCCCAGAGCCUGGACUCGCCACCUUCGGGAGCUCAGGAUGCUGAGGGUGCUGCAGUUCACACUCCGGAGGAGACGAGGGGGUUCCUCCCUAGCGAGCAGAGGCCUCCGCCAGACAUCAAGAAGGACAAGGCCCAGUGGCGGGCCCAGCAGGGCUGGCUGAAGAUGGUGCUGAACUUCCUCUGGAGGACGGGCUUUGAGGAGCCCAGAGACAAGGCCAGCAGGAGGCCGAAGGAGAAGGAAGAGCCCCCAGAGUCCCCAGAGACAGCUGAAGAACUGGGCCUCAGGAAGAAAGCCCCGGACAGGAAGGCCAGCCGCAAGAAACACGGUCACAAAAAGCAUGGUGCUGCGGAGGCCGCGGGGAACCAGGACCGGGAGGCCCGGCCGCCACAGGACCGGCUGCCAACCUCGCAGGCUGAGGACCCCGAAGCAGCCCUGGUUUGCAGGGGUGGACGGGAUUCUGGUGACCACCUGUCCUUGCCCUCCAGAGGGGCCAGCGCUGGACAGUUGGAUAGUUCACCCCAGGCCACAGGCUCUGGGCCAGAAGAGGAGCCAGGGAGGCCUGACCAGGAUGACGUCAUCCGGAUGAUCGUGGAAUUCCUCAAGAAAGUGGGAGACCAGUGGGAGGAGGAGCAGUCUCAAGCCUCCCAGCCAGCAGUACUGCUGCAAAACCCAGCCCUGGGCUGCACGAGGAAGUCCCAGGAGAAAAAGCCCAGCAGCCACAAGCGGGCCUUUUCCCUCAAGAAGUACAGCUCAGAGGAGCCCCGGAGGGUGGCCACUGCUGACGUGCCCAGCCCCAGGGGCCGGCCGCCCAAGAGACCCAGCUUCCUGCCCCUCUGCAUGGGUGGCGGUGGUCCCCGGCCCUCCACCUCCAGCAGCCCUGGCUGUGAAGGACCAGGAGCCCCCGAGGCCCCAUC